rnacentral:misc_RNA from 1 species
UUAUUUUGUAAUGAGCUUAGCACCCAUAACGCAAAAUACACAACUGCAUAAAAAAUCCAAACAUGGGUAUUUCGAAAAGGCUCACUACUCAAAGGCACUGACGUGCAAAUUGUACUACAAAAUUGUUUGGUUUAGUCUGCUUCUGUUAGUGACUACAGUACAUCAAGUGAUCUGUCUGAACAAUGGUUUGGCACGGACUCCCCCUAUGGGUUGGUUGUCAUGGGAACGAUACAGAUGUAACAUUGAUUGCGAUGCUGAUCCAGACAAUUGUAUCAGUGAAAAACUGUACAUGACCAUGGCUGAUCUGAUGGUAUCAGAAGGCUACAAGGAUGCUGGGUACCAAUAUGUCAAUAUAGAUGAUUGCUGGAUGACAAAACAGAGGGACAAAAAGGGUUCCCUGGUACCAGACCCAAAAAGGUUCCCACAUGGGAUAAAAUAUCUAGCAGAUUAUAUACAUUCAAAAGGACUGAAAAUGGGAAUUUAUGAGGACUUUGGUACAAAAACAUGUGGAGGUUACCCAGGUAGCAAGUUCUACCUGCAGAAAGAUGCCGAGACAUUUGCAGCAUGGGGCGUAGACAUGCUUAAACUAGAUGGUUGCAACACAAAUAAAGGAGAUUAUGAUUAUGGCUAUCCAAUCAUGGAAUUCUUCUUGAACCGGACUGGACGUCCUAUGCUGUAUUCCUGCAGCUGGCCUGCUUACAUAUCAAAUCCUGAUUAUGUGAAAAUCGCCAAGUACUGUAACAUCUGGCGUAAUUAUGCUGAUAUCGGAGAUUCCUGGGACAGUGUUAGAGGUAUUAUUGAGUAUUAUGGGAAGGACAAAGGGAACUUCAGCAAAGUGGCAGGACCUGGAAAUUUUAAUGAUCCUGAUAUGUUGAUUAUAGGAGACUAUGGUUUAAGUUAUGAGCAACAGAAGACACAGAUGGCUCUAUGGUCAAUAAUGGCAUCACCAUUGUUCAUGUCAAGUAACCUGAGGAAGAUGCCUCCAGCAUCAAAAGCCUUACUGCUCAACAAGAGGGCAAUAACUGUAAACCAGGAUCCCCUGGGUAUACAGGGGACUAGGAUAGAUAUGGUAUGUGGCAAUAGCUGUAAACCAGGAUCCCCUGGGUAUACAGGGGACUAGGAUAGAUAUGAUUGGGAAAAAUAUUGAAGUGUGGACCAAGCCUAUAUCACCUAAAGGCAAAUCCAUAGCUUUUGCAUUCCUCGAUACAGAAGAAGGUGGAGGGCCUACUGAGGUGAGUUACCCGGUGAGCA